rnacentral:rRNA from 1 species
CGGUCUGUUUAGUCUAAUGUGAAAGCCCACGGCUUAACCGUGGAACGGCAUUGGAAACUGACAGACUUGAAUGUAGAAGAGGAAAAUGGAAUUCCAAGUGUAGCGGUGGAAUGCGUAGAUAUUUGGAGGAACACCAGUGGCGAAGGCGAUUUUCUGGUCUAACAUUGACGCUGAGGCUCGAAAGCGUGGGGAGCGAACAGGAUUAGAUACCCUGGUAGUCCACGCCGUAAACGAUGAGUGCUAAGUGUUGGG